GUAGGGUGCAAGCGUUAAUCGGGAAUUACUGGGGCGUAAAGCGUGCGCAGGCGGUUUUGUAAGACAGUGGUGAAAUCCCCGGGGCUCAACCUGGGGAACUGCCAUUGUGACUGCAAGGCUGGAGUGCGGCAGAGGGGGAUGGAAUUCUGCGUGUAGCAGUGAAAUGCGUAGAUAUACGGAGGAACACCGAUGGCGAAGGCAAUCCCCUGGGCCUGCACUGACGCUCAUGCACGAAAGCGUGGGGAGCAAACAGGAUUAGAUACCCUGGUAGUCCACGCCCUAAACGAUGUCAACUGGUUGUUGGGAAUUUAUUUUCUCAGUAACGAAGCUAACGCGUGAAGUUGACCGCCUGGGGAGUACGGCCGCAAGGUUA
rnacentral:rRNA from 1 species